rfam:Lachnoanaerobaculum sp. ICM7 ctg120007550932, whole genome shotgun sequence.
UUAACUUGCAGGUAGAGAUAUGCUGUAUACUCAUGAUAUCGAAUUUGCGUUUAAGCGAUAUUUAAUAUCGUCGAUCAUGAGGCCACCUUUGAGGUGGUUUUUUUAUUU